rnacentral:lncRNA from 1 species
UUUUCAUGAGAGUUGGUACUUAUUGUGUGCCUUUGGACACACAUUCAUGUGCGUGAACACAAUAAUAUAAGGGAGUCGUCUCGGUAUCACAAUUCACAAGUAAUUUACAAGAAAGAUGUAGUCGUCAUUCUAGGAGAAGCUUUUCUUCUCUCUCCACCGAGAUGAGUGAGCUAAAUUAGUUCCCUUGAGUUCUCUAUAUCUUCAUUCCCGGUCAACCAAAACAAGUCAUUAUGCUUUGGCUACCGGUGAUUGUGGAGCAUAUAUAAUGUCUUCCUGCUCUCUCUUUCUCAGAUCACAAGAGCUAGGGAUGAUCAAUUUUGUUCAUAACAGCAUACUGUGCUGCCGUGUCGGGGAAUCAAGCGUACUGGUCCGAUGUAUAUAUGUAUGUAUUUAUAUAUGUUGUUUGCUGCCUGCAGCUUCUACUUUACUUCCGAAUUCAUGCAUGAUGCAUGAUUUUGUUUAUUGCUAGCCUUUUUGCCUUGACAUUAAGGCCUACCUUAUUUUAGUUUCGGAUGAUCCUCAAAGUCGUACCACAUCCAAAUAUCGACUUCACAGAUCUUUACUAUUUGCUGUAUAUAUAUUUUACAAGCGAGAUGAUUCUAUGCGUGUGCGCGCAGUACUCUCUUUUGAAGAAAAAACAUGUUUGCUAUUAUUCACAUUGACAGAUAGGAAGAAAAGCCCAUAUGCCGAUAAUGAAGAACCAUAAGAUUGAAUUAUUAGAUAGAAUAUAAUAUGAUCAUAAUAAAUCCUAACACCCUGAACCGGAAAAUUGAUCAUUUAAUAUUAAGCCCG